CACGUAGGGCGCAAGCGUUGUCCGGAAUUAUUGGGCGUAAAGAGCUUGUAGGCGGUUUGUCGCGUCUGCCGUGAAAAUCCGGGGCUCAACCCCGGACUUGCGGUGGGUACGGGCAGACUAGAGUGUGGUAGGGGAGACUGGAAUUCCUGGUGUAGCGGUGAAAUGCGCAGAUAUCAGGAGGAACACCGAUGGCGAAGGCAGGUCUCUGGGCCACUACUGACGCUGAGACGCGAAAGCGUGGGGAGCGAACAGG
rnacentral:rRNA from 1 species